rnacentral:rRNA from 1 species
GAUGAACGCUGGCGGCGUGCCUAACACAUGCAAGUCGAGCGAGAAGAUUUAAAGCGAAAUUUCGAUGGAGCGAUAAAUCGGAAAGCGGCGGACGGGUGAGUAACGCGUAGGCAACCUGCCCCAUACAGAGGGAUAGCCUCGGGAAACCGGGAUUAAAACCUCAUAACGCGAAGAAGUCACAUGGCUUUUUCGCCAAAGAUUGAUCGGUAUGGGAUGGGCCUGCGUCUGAUUAGCUAGUUGGUGAGGUAACGGCUCACCAAGGCAACGAUCAGUAGCCGACCUGAGAGGGUAAUCGGCCACAUUGGAACUGAGACACGGUCCAAACUCCUACGGGAGGCAGCAGUGGGGAAUAUUGCACAAUGGGCGAAAGCCUGAUGCAGCAACGCCGCGUGAGCGAUGAAGGCCUUUGGGUCGUAAAGCUCUGUCCUUGGGGAAGAAACAAAUGACGGUACCCUUGGAGGAAGCCCCGGCUAACUACGUGCCAGCCGCCGCUGUAACAC